GCUCAGCUUAUACAUCAGUAACAGUAACUGAAAAAGUAAAGGAACCUGUUUUAACAACCGCAGCAAUUGUCAUGAAAUCUAACAUGGGAAUUUCUACACAUAAAUCAUGUCAAGAUGCAAAUAAAUUUGGGGGUAAAUAAAGAAAAGAAAGGGGAACACAAACACAUACAUGUUGUGUAUAUAUAUAUAUAUAUAUAUAUAUAUAUAUAUAGCAUCAACGAAAUCUGAAUCAUCAAUCAUCCCCAACUGACCUAGAUUUCAACACAACAAAUAUAAAGCCACAAAAAAACAGCAGCACCACCCACAGAAAUCGAAGCCUAGUAUAUCCUUGAACUAAGGAGAAUUAAGACCUACUCUACAAUUAGAAAUUACGGAUCAAUAAUGAUCUUCUAGGAACCAAAACAUACAACAUAAAAUUG
rnacentral:lncRNA from 1 species